rnacentral:rRNA from 1 species
GAUGAACGCUGGCGGCGUGCCUAAUACAUGCAAGUCGAGCGAAUGGAUUAAGAGCUUGCUCUUAUGAAGUUAGCGGCGGGCGGGUGAGUAACACGUGGGUAACCUGCCCAUAAGACUGGGAUAACUCCGGGAGACCGGGGCUAAUACCGGAUAACAUUUUGAACCGCAUGGUUCGAAAUUGAAAGGCGGCUUCGGCUGUCACUUAUGGAUGGACCCGCGUCGCAUUAGCUAGUUGGUGGGGUAACGGCUCACCAAGGCAACGAUGCGUAGCCGACCUGAGAGGGUGAUCGGCCACACUGGGACUGAGACACGGCCCAGACUCCUACGGGAGGCAGCAGUAGGGAAUCUUCCGCAAUGGACGAAAGUCUGACGGGGCAACGCCGCGUGAGUGAUGAAGGCUUUCGGGUCGUAAAACUCUGUUGUUAGGGAAGAACAAGUGCUAGUUGAAUAAGCUGGCACCUUGACGGUACCUAACCAGAAAGCCACGGCUAACUACGUGUCAGCAGCCGCCGUAA